rnacentral:rRNA from 1 species
GACGAACGCUGGCGGCGUGCUUAACACAUGCAAGUCGAACGGAAAGGCCCUGCUUUUGUGGGGUGCUCGAGUGGCGAACGGGUGAGUAUCACGUGUGUAACCUGCCCUUGACUUUGGGAUAACUUCAGGAAACUGGGGCUAAUACCGGAUAUGAGCUCCUGCUGCAUGUUGGGGGUUGGAAAGUUUCGGCGGUUGGGGAUGGACUCGCGGCUUAUCAGCUUGUUGGUGGGGUAGUGGCUUACCAAGGCUUUGACGGGUAGCCGGCCUGAGAGGGUGACCGGCCACAUUGGGACUGAGAUACGGCCCAGAAUCCUACGGGAGGCAGCAGUGGGGAAUAUUGCACAAUGGGCGGAAGCCUGAUGCAGCAACGCCGGGUGCGGGAUGACGGCCUUCGGGUUGUAAACCGCUUUCGACUGUGACGAAGCGUGAGUGACGGUAAUGGGUAAAGAAGCACCGGCUAACUACGUG